GGAUCGGGCUCGGCCCGAGGUACUCCGCAGUGAGCGAAGUCGGUGCAAGUCCGACACUGUCGCGCAACGGUGAUGCCCUCCAGCUCAGUCCGGUCGCCUCCCUGCGGAGUGGCAUU
rnacentral:ncRNA from 22 species